rnacentral:rRNA from 1 species
GCAUCUAUACUGUGAAACUGCGAAUGGCUCAUUAAAUCAGUUAUCGUUUAUUUGAUAGUACCUUACUACAUGGAUACCUGUGGUAAUUCUAGAGCUAAUACAUGCUAAAAACCCCGACUUCGGGAGGGGUGUAUUUAUUAGAUAAAAAACCAAUGCCCCUCGGGGCUCCUUGGUGAAUCAUAAUAACUUAACGAAUCGCAUGGCCUUGCGCCGGCGAUGGUUCAUUCAAAUUUCUGCCCUAUCAACUUUCGAUGGUAGGAUAGUGGCCUACCAUGGUGGCAACGGGUAACGGGGAAUUAGGGUUCGAUUCCGGAGAGGGAGCCUGAGAAACGGCUACCACAUCCAAGGAAGGCAGCAGGCGCGCAAAUUACCCAAUCCCGACACGGGGAGGUAGUGACAAUAAAUACUGAUACGGGGCUCUUUUGGGUCUCGUAAUUGGAAUGAGUACAAUCUAAAUCCCUUAACGAGGGACAAUUGGAGGGCAAGUCUGGUGCCAGCAGCCGCGGUAAUUCCAGCUCCAAUAGCGUAUAUUAAAGUUGUUGCAGUUAAAAAGCUCGUAGUUGAACGUUGGGUCUGGCUGGCCGGUCGCGCCUCACCGCGAGUACUGGUCCGGCUGGACCUUUCCUUCUGGGGAAUCCCAUGGCGUUCACUGGCGUGUGGGUGGAACCAGGACUUUUACUGUGAAAAAAUUAGAGUGUUCAAAGCAGGCCUUUGCUCGGAUACAUUAGCAUGGAGAUAAUAGAAUAGGACGUGCGGUUCUAUUUUGUUGGUUUCUAGGACCGCCGUAAUGAUUAAUAGGGAUAGUCGGGGGCGUCAGUAUUCAGCUGUCAGAGGUGAAAUUCUUGGAUUUGCUGAAGACUAACUACUGCGAAAGCAUUCGCCAAGGAUGUUUUCAUUAAUCAGGGAACGAAAGUUAGGGGAUCGAAGACGAUCAGAUACCGUCGUAGUCUUAACCAUAAACUAUGCCGACUAGGGAUCGGGCGGCGUUUCUAUGAUGACCCGCUCGGCACCUUACGAGAAAUCAAAGUUUUUGGGUUU